AUUGAACGCUGGCGGCAGGCCUAACACAUGCAAGUCGAGCGGAGCAGCGGACGGGGAAGGAAUGCCAAGGAAUCUGCAUGGGAGUGGGGGAGGACGUCCGGAAACGGACGCUAAAACCGAAUACUCUCACCUGAGGAUGGGUCGGAUGAGCUAGUUGGUGGGGUAAAGGCCCACCAAGGCGACGAUCCGUAUCUGGUCUGAGAGGAUGACCAGCCACACUGGAACUGAGACACGGUCCAGACUCCUACGGGAGGCAGCAGUGGGGAAUAUUGGACAAUGGGCGAAAGCCUGAUGCAGCCAUGCCGCGUGUGUGAAGAAGGUCUUCGGAUUGUAAAGCACUUUAAGUUGGGAGGCGUUACCCGCAGAAUAAGCACCGGCUAACUCCGUGCCAGCAGCCGCGGUAAUUC
rnacentral:rRNA from 1 species